ensembl:lincRNA
GCGGGUGCAGGGGGAGUAACCCUGGGAGCCAGGCUUCUUUUGUGGGGGACUGGCCUCGUGGGAGCAGCUCCCCAGAGCUGCUUCAGCAUGCUGGGACUUAUGCACCCCGAUCUUAGGCUGGGAUAAGAAUGAGGACCUGGGGUGACCAACUAUUUGAGUGGGGCUUGUGAGGGAAAAGCCAUGUAAGGGGGUAAGAAAUGGCUGAGUGGGCUAAGUAGACAGAAGUGUUGACCCACAGAUGAGUAAAAUCUAAUCAGUAGCCCUCCACCCCCUACAGUAUAUUCUUCUCUGUUCUCAUUGAGGAAUCCAACGCAUUCCCAGAGACCAAAUGAGGACACAGUCAAGAGUGGAGGAAUUAAGUUUUGCUGCUGCUUGCUGUGUUCCCAGCCAGGAGCCAGCCCCUGCCUUCAAGGAACUGAAUGGCUGGGAGUAUGGGGAGUCCUACAAAGGUCCUGAGCUUGGUGCUGAGGACGCCUGGAGGAAUCACAGAGCCCAUCUGGAAACAGCCCAUCUCCUGGCUGGGUUGGAUCAGCUUCUGGUAGGUCUCGUGCCCUGGCAGCUAUCUCAGGCCUGUCUCCCCUUCCCAGGGGGCCUUAGCCUAGCCUUUUGCAUCCUAGAGCCCACCAUGUGGCCCACUAUGCUCACGCAGCUCCAGGAGAAAAUUCUCCUCUGCCACCCCCAGAACAUGGUUUCUCCGUCCCUGGCUCAAACCCUGAAUCUUGCUUGGAACAAAUGCAAUGAGAGUGUCCAGCACUGAGAAGGCCUUUAAGACCCAUUGCCCCCCUGUUCUGGAUGCCCA